CAGUCGCCGAGGUAAUACGAAGGGUGCAAGCGUUAAUCGGAAUUACUGGGCGUAAAGCGUGCGUAGGCGGUUUGUUAAGUCUGUUGUGAAAUCCCCGGGCUCAACCUGGGAAUGGCAAUGGAUACUGGCUCGCUAGAGUGUGUCAGAGGAUGGUGGAAUUCCCGGUGUAGCGGUGAAAUGCGUAGAGAUCGGGAGGAACAUCAGUGGCGAAGGCGGCCAUCUGGGACAACACUGACGCUGAGGCACGAAAGCGUGGGGAGCAAACAGGAUUAGAUACCCCCGUAGUCCCUGUCUCUUAUAC
rnacentral:rRNA from 1 species